UACGUAGGGGGCUAGCGUUGCUCGGAAUCACUGGGCGUAAAGCGCUCGUAGGCGGUUUGCUAAGUCAGGGGUGAAAUCCUGGAGCUCAACUCCAGAACUGCCUUUGAUACUGGCGAUCUCGAGUCCGGGAGAGGUGAGUGGAACUGCGAGUGUAGAGGUGAAAUUCGUAGAUAUUCGCAAGAACACCAGUGGCGAAGGCGGCUCACUGGCCCGGUACUGACGCUGAGGUGCGAAAGCGUGGGGAGCAAACAGG
rnacentral:rRNA from 1 species